rnacentral:rRNA from 1 species
AACGCGAAGAACCUUACCAAGGCUUGACAUCGCCGGAAAUCCCGCAGAGAUGCGGGGUCCUUUUUGGGCCGGUGACAGGUGGUGCAUGGCUGUCGUCAGCUCGUGUCGUGAGAUGUUGGGUUAAGUCCCGCAACGAGCGCAACCCUCGUUCCAUGUUGCCAGCAACACCUUCGGGUGGUUGGGGACUCAUGGGAGACCGCCGGGGUCAACUCGGAGGAAGGUGGGGAUGACGUCAAGUCAUCAUGCCCCUUAUGUCCAGGGCUUCUCGCAUGCUACAAUGGCCGGUACAGAGGGCUGCGAUGCCGUGAGGUGGAGCGAAUCUCUUAAAGCCGGUCUCAGUUCGGAUCGGGGUCUGCAACUCGACCCCGUGAAGUCGGAGUCGCUAGUAAACGUAGGUCAGCACACUACGUUGAAUACGUUCUCGGGCCUUGUACACACCG